UAGAAGUAUUACAAGUAACGGUUCCUUCGAUCGUAAAGAAAAUUUCGGGGCAUCGACAAGUCUUCGAGGACCCCCAAACGCAGGCAUGCCCCCCACCCAGGCUUCAAGGGGGCUGGCCAAAGGGGACCCGGAGGUGUCGUCGCGAACGCCGUCAGGAUCAAUGAGCAGCCUGGAGGAAGUUACGUACGGCAUUGAUAGGUUGUCCUUCUGGGAUAACCAGUGUACCAGAUAUUGACAACAGUAUGGAGUGACAUUUCUAAUGGCACCACCACCGCCAUAUUUCACGCUCGGUAUGCCGCAGCCCCCGCCGCCACCCCCACUAUUUGUCGUGGGCAUACCACAGGCCCCGCCGCCAUCACCAGCCUUCGCGGCGGACAUGGAGCAGCCGCAACGCAAGAAUGUGAGUAACAGGCGGCGGCGGCAACGGCAAAAUAGACGCCGCAGAAGGACCGCGGCAAGAGAUGUACUACUAAUGCGGCCACCACCCGCGAGAACGCAACAAGAGAGACGACAGGGGCCGGUAAAUAAAUAUAUUUAUAUAACGCAAAGUU